CCCUUAGAUGUUCUGGGCCGCACGCGCGCUACCCUGAUGCAUUCAACGAGCCUAUCCUUGACCGACAGGUCCGGGUAAUCUUUGAAUCUGCAUCGUGACGGGGAUAGAUUAUUGCAAUUAUUAAUCUUCAACGAGGAAUGCCUAGUAGGCGCAAGUCAUCAGCUUGCGUCGAUUACGUCCCUGCCCUUUGUACACACCGCCCGUCGCUCCUACCGAUUGGGUGUGCUGGUGAAAUGUUCGGAUCGGCCGUUUGUCGCGGUUUCCGCGUCAUGUGGCUGAGAAGUUCAUUAAACCCUCCCACCUAGAGGAAGGAGAAGUCGUAACA
rnacentral:rRNA from 1 species